rnacentral:rRNA from 1 species
AGUCUAGUAAAUGAGCGAGCCUAAGGUAUCUUCCGAACACCGCAGGCGUUGUGAAGGCGCUUGCUCGCGGGCCGUUCGCGGUCCCGCGGGCGCGUGCCGACUUCAUAGCGACGAUGGGGGCCUAAACAGCCUCCCGCAGUCGCGAGGUGGUCUCGUCCUCGCUCGCGAGGAGAGCCAUCCUUCUAGCUCACGUGCUAGUACCCGAAAGAUGGUGAACUAUGCUUGACGAGAACCGAGUUAGGGGAAACCCUGAUGUAAGUUCGUCAUCGAUUCUGACGUGCAAAUCGAUCGUCUGAGUUGCGUAUAGGGGCGAAAGACCAAUCGAACCAUCUAGUAGCUGGUUCCUUCCGAAGUUUCCCUCAGGAUAGCUCGUGUCGCUUUAGCUAGUAACAUGUGGUAAAGCUAAUGACUAGAGGUAUUGGGACCGAAACGGCCUCAACCUAUUCUCAAACUUUCAAUGUGUGUGAGAUCAAACGGCUUGCGGUGACUUACGUUUACGAAGCCGUGCGAACUCGCGCGUUGCUUCGGCGGCGCGCGCUGCAAUAACGCGGCACGUAGUGGGCCGAUUUUGGUAAGCAGAAACGGCGAUGUGGGAUGAACCAAAUGCGGAGCUAAAGCGUCAAAGUCAACGCUCAUGGGAAACCAUGAAAGGCGUUAGUAACUGAAGACAGCAGGGCGGUGGCCAU